AUUGAACGCUGGCGGCAUGCCUUACACAUGCAAGUCGAACGGCAGCACGGGUGCUUGCACCUGGUGGCGAGUGGCGAACGGGUGAGUAAUACAUCGGAACGUACCUUAUCGUGGGGGAUAACGCAGCGAAAGCUGUGCUAAUACCUCAUACGCCCUGAGGGGGCAAGCGGGGGAUCGCAAGACCUCGCACGAUUAGAGCCGCCGAUGCCUGAUUAGCUUGUUGGUGGGGUAAAAGCCCACCAAGGCGACGAUCAGUAGCUGGUCUGAGAGGACGAUCAGCCACACUGGGACUGAGACACGGCCCAGACUCCUACGGGAGGCAGCAGUGGGGAAUUUUGGACAAUGGGGGCAACCCUGAUCCAGCAAUGCCGCGUGAGUGAAGAAGGCCUUCGGGUUGUAAAGCUCUUUUGUCAGGGAAGAAACAGCAGCUCUAACACAGUUUGCGAAUGACGGUACCUGAAGAAUAAGCACCGGCUAACUACGUGCCAGCCGCCGCGGUAA
rnacentral:rRNA from 1 species